rnacentral:sRNA from 1 species
CUUUAAUGAUCUUGGAAUGAAGCUCAUAAAAGUUAGCUAUAAAGUUGAAAAUAUGUUUAUUAUAUGUAAAAUGCCAUUAUAAUUAAUGGGUCCUUUUAUUAAUAACCUUUUACAGGUUGUCACUUAUAUUCUGUAAGAAUUUUGUUUUAAUUGUUCUCACAUAGACGUUGACUUUUAAUAUAGGUAGAAGACUUUUUGAAUCUCUCCACACAGCUGUCUGGAUUUCAUAUUUGUAUUGACAAAGGGACUUUUGAUGCCAUAAGCCUUAAUCCUGACAAUGCAAUUGAGAAGAGGAAGCAAUAUGUGAAAUCUCUCUCCAGGGUGUUGAAAGUAAAAGGCUUUUUUCUAAUAACGUCAUGUAAUUGGACCAAGGAAGAGUUGCUAAAUGAAUUCAGUGAAGGAUUUGAACUUUUCGAAGAGCUGCCAACAC